GGGCGGAGCCGCCCGCGGCAGCGAUGUGGGGCGGCGCUGCGGAUGGGGCCGUCUGCGCCAUCGGUGGGGGCAAUAAAGGGCAGCCCCCCCCCCCCGCUCCUCCCGGCCGCCGGGGGGCGCUGUGUCCGCCCGCCCACUCCCCGCAACGCCGCCCCACCGCCCUAUAGGGCAGGGAUGGCCCCAUAGCCUCCGGUGUGGGGCUGGAAUGAUCCCAUUCCUUGUGAUGUAGAUUAGGGCCGACCCCAUACCUUGUGCUGUGGGGCUGGAACAACCCCAUACCCUGUGUUGUAGGGCAGGGCUGACCCCAUACCCUGUGUUGUGGGGCUGGGGUGGCCCCAUAUCUUGUGUUGUGGGGCUGGAACGACCCCAUAUGUUGUCUUGUGGGGCUGGGGUGGCCCCAUACCCUGUGUUGUAGGGCAGGUCUGACCCCACACCCUGUGUUGUGGGGCCGGGGUGACCCCAUACCCUGCAAUGUGGGGCAGUGGGAGGCGCACAGGACCCCAUCUCUGCCCCACAUCAUGCAGUGGCGGCCGGAGCUGUGCUAUAGGGCUUCCUAUAGGGCAGGCCGUAGGGCCGGGAAAUAAAGGCGGGUUUAUGGGACAGGCAGCGACCCAACGGGAUCUACGCACGAUCCCAUCCCGACCCUCGGCCCCACUGCAGCCCACACGCCGUGGGGCGACGCCGGGACUGAAAGAAAAGCCGUGGCUGAAAAUAGAGCUCUGUUGGUUCUCUGUACAGAAGAGAUGCAAAAGGGGGAAAUGGGGUCUCUAAAAGGCGGUGUGGGGGCAGAGCGGCCCCAUAAAGGGGGAUCUGAACCCAAAGCUGAGGGCGGGGGGACCCCCAGCCCUGCGCUCC
rnacentral:lncRNA from 1 species